GAGGGGGAUAACUACUGGAAACGGUGGCUAAUACCGCAUAACGUCGCAAGACCAAAGAGGGGGACCUUCGGGCCUCUUGCCAUCAGAUGUGCCCAGAUGGGAUUAGCUUGUUGGUGAGGUAACGGCUCACCAAGGCGACGAUCCCUAGCUGGUCUGAGAGGAUGACCAGCCACACUGGAACUGAGACACGGUCCAGACUCCUACGGGAGGCAGCAGUGGGGAAUAUUGCACAAUGGGCGCAAGCCUGAUGCAGCCAUGCCGCGUGUAUGAAGAAGGCCUUCGGGUUGUAAAGUACUUUCAGCGGGGAGGAAGGUGUUGUGGUUAAUAACCGCAGCAAUUGACGUUACCCGCAGAAGAAGCACCGGCUAACUCCGUGCCAGCAGCCGCGGUAAUACGGAGGGUGCAAGCGUUAAUCGGAAUUACUGGGCGUAAAGCGCACGCAGGCGGUCUGUCAAGUCGGAUGUGAAAUCCCCGGGCUCAACCUGGGAACUGCAUUCGAAACUGGCAGGCUUGAGUCUUGUAGAGGGGGGUAGAAUUCCAGGUGUAGCGGUGAAAUGCGUAGAGAUCUGGAGGAAUACCGGUGGCGAAGGCGGCCCCCUGGACAAAGACUGACGCUCAGGUGCGAAAGCGUGGGGAGCAAACAGGAUUAGAUACCCUGGUAGUCCACGCCGUAAACGAUGUCUACUUGGAGGUUGUGCCCUUGAGGCGUGGCUUCCGGAGCUAACGCGUUAAGUAGACCGCCUGGGGAGUACGGCCGCAAGGUUAAAACUCAAAUGAAUUGACGGGGGCCCGCACAAGCGGUGGAGCAUGUGGUUUAAUUCGAUGCAACGCGAAGAACCUUACCUGGUCUUGACAUCCACGGAAGUUUUCAGAGAUGAGAAUGUGCCUUCGGGAACCGUGAGACAGGUGCUGCAUGGCUGUCGUCAGCUCGUGUUGUGAAAUGUUGGGUUAAGUCCCGCAACGAGCGCAACCCUUAUCCUUUGUUGCCAGCGGUUAGG
rnacentral:rRNA from 1 species